UACGGAGGGUGCAAGCGUUAAUCGGAAUUACUGGGCGUAAAGCGCGCGUAGGUGGUUUUCUAAGUUGGACGUGAAAGCUCCCGGCUUAACUGGGAGAGGUCGUUCAAUACUGGAAGACUUGAGGAUGGUAGAGGAGAGUGGAAUUCCCGGUGUAGUGGUGAAAUGCGUAGAUAUCGGGAGGAACACCAGAGGCGAAGGCGGCUCUCUGGACCAUUCCUGACGCUCAGAUGCGAAAGCGUGGGUAGCAAACAGG
rnacentral:rRNA from 1 species